rnacentral:lncRNA from 13 species
GUUCUACAAUCAACAAUCAAGUGAUAUUCUAUCGACAUCCACUCANNNNNNNNNNGGGGGGGGGGGGUAUAGAUAACAACAGGUGUGUCUGGAUUACCUGUGGAGCGACCGAACAGACGUGGAACACUUGUGUGGAUGGUGGGAGGGGCCCCACCAGAGUGUGUGUGUUCCUGGAAGCUGCAGGUAUAUGUUACUGAAGACUGAGAAGCACCUGCUGACAAUUCUUGGAAUUGUGGACAUUUGCUGCAUAUGGACACACACAUUCACUGCUGACAGGUCUGUGGCUGCCAGAGUAAAGACGAGAUGGUAUGGGUUGGAAGGGACAUGCUGUUACCGCAUCAGGACCAGGAGGAGUCUAGAAGACGUGGUGGAGGGACUAGUGGAUUUAAACACACCUUCCCGGGAGAAAGGAGAUAGGACUGACAGGAUGUCUGCAAUACAAUGUAAGUCCCAGUUGACUUAGUGUCUAGUCAACCAACAGCCG